GUGGGGAAUAUUGGGCAAUGGGGGAAACCCUGACCCAGCGACGCCGCGUGAGGGAAGAAGGCCUUAGGGUCGUAAACCUCUGUCGUGUGGGAAGAAGAGCGUGACGGUACCACACGAGGAAGUCCCGGCUAACUACGGGCCAGCAGCCGCGGUAACACGUAGGGGACGAGCGUUGUCCGGAUUUACUGGGCGUAAAGGGCGCGUAGGCGGUCAUUUAAGUCAGCUGUGAAAUGGUUUGGCUUAACCGGAUCAUGCGGUUGAAACUGGAUGACUGGAGUGCUGGAGAGGCAAGUGGAAUUCCCGGUGUAGCGGUGAAAUGCGUAGAGAUCGGGAGGAACACCAGUGGCGAAGGCGACUUACUGGACUGUAACUGACGCUGAGGCGCGAAAGUGUGGGGAGCAAACAGGAUUAGAUACCCGAGUAGUCC
rnacentral:rRNA from 1 species